rnacentral:rRNA from 1 species
UACGUAGGGGGCUAGCGUUGUCCGGAAUCAUUGGGCGUAAAGAGCGUGUAGGCGGCUCGGUAAGUCCGCUGUGAAAGUCCAGGGCUCAACCCUGGAAUGCCAGUGGAAACUGUCGAGCUAGAGUCCGGAAGAGGCGAGUGGAAUUCCUGGUGUAGCGGUGAAAUGCGCAGAUAUCAGGAGGAACACCAAUGGCGAAGGCAGCUCCGCU